UACCUAUAUUUUGAUAUAAAGGGAUAUGCAUCAUCUCGACCAGCUUUUUCCUAGACUACUACGCCAUUUGAGGUGCUCAAUUUUUUCACUCGAAGCAUUAAUCCUAAAAAAGUAGAACAAAACAACUCAGACAAGACAAUUUAGAUGUUCCAACAUACAUUAAAUUACCAAAAGACAAAAGCAAAUGGAAGGCAUGUUCUCUUCACAAAUUGGAACACAUGAAAAGAAGAAACUAUGUGCAGAGGGCACUUCAAUCAGGUUCACUGGCCAGCAGGUUAGAGUUGGCAAUGACUGUCAACAGUCCUUUUUCUUUGCAGGCUAGUACGCUGGUUCUUGCUGAGAAUGAAGCUGGUUCUAUCAGGGCACCAUCUGUGAGUGCAGUAGUGGCUGCAAUUGUUUUAAGCAAGGACAACUCCAUUACCGUGCUAUUGGCCGGCUCAGGUCCUUCCCUUCGAGAAGCUGCCACACAUGCUGCCUCAUGCCAUCCUUCAGUUUCUCAGUUCAAGGGCAUAAUAUUAUGGGAUUCUGAAAGUUGGCUGAUGCUAUUUCUUGCAAAGGUGCUUGUAGCUGAUUCAGAUAAAUUUACACAUCCAAUAGCGGAACCUUGGGCUAAACUAGUCCAUUUAGUGCAGCAGAGAGGUGACUACUCGCACAUAAUUGCACCUUCAGUUUCAUUUGGGAAAAACAUUCUACCACGUGCAGCUGCUCUUUUAGAUGUUUCCCCCAUUACAGAUGUUAUUGAAAUAGCUGAGUCUGAUUUAUUUGUCAGGCCAAUAUACGCUGGUAAUGCACUCUGCACCGUUCGCUACACUGGUGCCAAUCCUUGCAUGUUGACCAUUAGAUCCACAUCUUUCCCGGUGCCACCAACCUUGGCCGAUUCAAAAUCUAAGGAGGCUCCUAUCUCCCAGGUUGCUCUCUCAACCUUUGGUGAAGGUAAUUCGAGAUAUAUAAAGCAGACAUCUCAGGAUACAGAACGCCCUGAUCUUGGGAAUGCACGAAUUGUAAUCACUGGGGGGCGUGGGUUGAAAAGUGCUGAGAACUUUAAGAUGAUAGAGAAGCUUGCAGAGAAACUUGGUGCGGCUGUAUAAUUUGGAACUUUGUUGAUUUUUUUGCUUACUUGGUGCCACCCGUGCUGCUGUUGAUGCGGGAUUUGUUCCUAAUGAUCUCCAGGUUGCUGAUCAUGGACUUGUAGGUGAUCUUUUUGAGGUGAUACCGGAGUUCCUCGAGAAGGUUCCGGAGAGAAAAUAAACCUCUAACCUGUGCUUUUCCAGGAUUCCCCCUUGGAGGUGAAAGAUUAAGAAUGAACUGUCUUGUUUAUAAUAAGUUCCAAAUUCUCAUUUCUUUGAACGUCCUUUUAUAUAGCAUGAAAUCAAAAUCACCCUUUUCAAAUCGCCUUAAA